rnacentral:rRNA from 1 species
CCUACGGGAGGCAGCAGUGGGGAAUAUUGGACAAUGGGGGAAACCCUGAUCCAGCCAUGCCGCGUGAAUGAUGAAGGCCUUCGGGUUGUAAAGUUCUUUUGAUGGGGAUGCGGUACCCAUAGAAUAAGCUCCGGCUAACUUCGUGCCAGCAGCCGCGGUAAUACGAAGGGAGCUAGCGUUGUUCGGAUUUACUGGGCGUAAAGGGCGCGUAGGCGGUUUGACAAGUUGGAAGUGAAAGCCCUGGGCUCAACCCGGGAAUUGCUUUCAAAACUGUCUUACUUGAAUUAGGUAGAGGUUGGUAGAAUUCCCAGUGUAGAGGUGAAAUUCGUAGAGAUUGGGAAGAAUACCCGUGGCGAAGGCGGCCAACUGGACCUAAUGACGCUGAGGCGCGAAAGCGUGGGGAGCAAACAGGAUUAGAUACCCUUGUAGUC